rnacentral:tRNA from 1 species
GGCGAGAUAGCUCAGUUGGUAGAGCACACGACUGAAAAUCGUGGUGUCCCCGGUUCGAGUCCGGGUCUCGCCAUCA